UAAGACGAACCGUGCGAACGUUAUUCGGAAUCACUGGGCUUAAAGGGCGCGUAGGCGGGUUACCAAGUCAGAGGUGAAAUCCUGCGGCUCAACCGCAGAAGUGCCCCUGAUACUGGUAGUCUUGAGGGAGGUAGGGGCAUGUGGAACUUCCGGUGGAGCGGUGAAAUGCGUAGAUAUCGGAAGGAACGCCGGUGGCGAAAGCGACGUGCUGGACCUCUUCUGACGCUGAGGCGCGAAAGCCAGGGGAGCGAACGGGAUUAGAUACCCCGGUAGUCCUGGCCCUAAACGAUGGGUACUAGGUAGUGGACUUACAUGGGUUCACUGCCGAAGCAAAAGUAUUAAGUACCCCGCCUGGGGAGUAUGGUCGCAAGGCUG
rnacentral:rRNA from 1 species